GUGGGGCACGCCUGUAAUCCCAGCACUCGGGAGGCUGAGGCAGGAAGAUCACCAUGAAUGUGAGGCCAGCCUGGGCUACAUAGUGAGACCCUAUCUCAAACAAACAAAAAAGUGAAAUAGCUCUUUUCAUUUUUUAAGAAGGGUUUCUUUCCUUGUAGUACUGGCUACACCCCAUGCUACUGAUGUUGGGAUAUCGCUCCUAAAACAAAGCACCCUGAAGCCAAGGCCCAGAGCUGUUUUUUUCAUUUUUGCCUCAAAUUACAGAAAGGAAUAGUUUUUAAGACCUGCUGAGGACUUCAGUGUGGGUAGGGAAGAUGGAGGGAAAGAGAGGGAAAAAGAGAAAUUUUCAAAAUUAAUUAUUGAUGGCUACUCAGUGGACCUCUUAACACCUUGAGGCAUUUUAAAUGCCUGAAAAGGAGACGCUGCUUAUAAAAAUGCUGUGUAUCUUCCCUGCAGGUGGAUCAAAGACGAAGACGUUCCGACUCUCCUUCAACCAGGCAUUCAGUGCCCAAAGGAAACUGAAACUCGGGGUCAGCCAGCGUCUGCGGCUCUGUUAACACCCCCAGCUCCCGGUGAGCUGAGCUCCCGCUCUGCAACCAGGCACCGAGGGCCGGGCCGCGUCCACCAGGUGGCAAUGCAGAACGCGAAGAGCCGCCCCGAGCCCAGCUCCAUCUGGCCGGCCAGGAAUCCGCAGGAGUGGGCCUGAGAGUGUACUGCUGGCUCCCGGCAGGCUUCCGCCUCUUCUCGGGGCAUCCCGGCCUCUACUUCUACCGCGGAUAGGCUGGCCUUUAAAAUCACUAACAUCCUUGACUGGCAGUGCAGCUGAGCGGAGCUGGGGAAGGUCAAAGCCGCGGUGCCCUCUGGAUCUAUCCAGGAGAGCUGGGGAUCGAGCCUAGGAUGCUCAACCAGCGAGCUACACCCACACCCCAGCAGCAGUAUUUUUUUGGAGUAGCUUGGCCGUGUGUUCACUCAACGGAUAAAAGCAGCAGUGCCUGCUCAUCUUCAGGGGAUGCUUACAAAGUGCCCAGGGGAUGCUGGAAACCACAGAUCUUACCAAACCCUAUAUAUACCAUGCUUCUUCCUAAACAUACAUACCUAAGGUAUCCCAUCUCCAUGCCACUUUCUGCAGCAGUUCGGGAAGCCUUCUUUCAUAUCUUUAUUAGGUGCAAUAAAAAAUACGGUAAAUGCUGCUGCUGAGGGCCUUCCAGCAGAAAGGCAGGCUCAUAAAAACAUUCAGUGCGUCCUCAACCAUCUUAUUCAUCACAUCUGGCACCCUGAGGCUUCCGGCUCUUCCCCAAAGUCAAAAUGACCAUGAAAAGGAAACAUUUUGAAUGGAUUCAGGACAUCAAGGCAGCCAUGAAGAUGUAGCUAAAGACACUCGCGAAAGAGGACUUCCAGAAGUGCUUCAGAAAGGGCCGAGAACGAUGGGAUAAGUGUGUUUGAAGCAAGAGGGAUAUUUUGAGGAGGAUUAAUGACCAUAUGUCUUCACUAUAGUUAUUUUUUCUUAAUUUAAACAUUCAUUUUAUCAUGCCUCAUGAUAAAGUUUAACUUCUAAAUUAGGCACGGUAAGAGGUCUGCAGCAAUAACUAAUAAUAAAAUAGAGCAACUGUAACAAUAUGCUGCAGUAAAAGUUGUGUGAAUGUGAUUCCUCUCUACGCAUGUUGCUGUGCCGUGCUUGGCCUCCUGGUGAUGCUGUGGGAUGACACGGUGCCUCAGUGAUGACAGCAUCAGCACUACCUGAGGGUGGCUCUAACACAAGCACAGCAGUGUAAGGCAGUUGAUUUGGCAACCGCCGGCUCUGCCAAGUAAAGAACAGGAGGGCAGCAUAGACCAUGUGGAAACACCAAGCAAGGGGAUGGGAGAGGGGCAGCCUGUGGUGGACAGGACUGUCCUCAUUAGGGCAGAGACAGGCGCCUGCCUGGGAGACAUUCAGGCAGGGGCGCCAGCUUCAGAGUGUCCAUGAGAAGAAAGGUUUAGGCCAGAGCUAAUUGCAUUGAGCAAGGUCUCCUAAAGAUGGUACUAACAUGGGGAAGAAAAGUACAAGGAAAAGAAAGGAAGGCCCAGGCCCCAGUGGAGAGGAAUGUCCAUCCACCUUUAAGAACAGGAACAGAAUGCUGGUUGCGGUGGCCAUGAUUUAAUCCCAGAACUCUGGAGGCUGAGAUAGAAACAUCCCAAGUUCAAACCCAGCCUGCCUGGGCAACUUAGCAACUUAAUGAGACUCUGUGUCAAGAUAAAAGAUAAAACAAGAUCUGGGCUGUAGCUCAGUGCAAAGACCCGGAGUUCAAUCUCCCUCCCCCCAAAUAGAGUAGGCACAGGAGAGAAGCAUGUGUAGCAAGGUCGUUGAAACACCACCAGAGUGUGGCAUCCAGCGAGACCCGGGCGGAGUGUGGUCGGUGGGAGGAACGGCCGUAUUGAAGCAGUUGGUGCAGGGGAAGCUCUCGACAGCAGCCCAGGGCAGAGCGUUGCGCCUAGAGAUGGAAUGGCACUUCUCUAGACGUGCUACCCAGCUACCUUCUUUAUUUUCCAGGAGGACUUUUAGCCACAGAACUAUAAAACUGGCCCGAUUGGGAAAAUACUUUUUUUCAAAACAGUGAGGUGGCUGGGCUUUCUGUAGUCGCCAGCUCAGCAGGAGCCAUGGGUACCAUCUUCUCCCUGGCGCCUGCUCAUGAACUUGGGCAUCCCUCGAGGGACACUCAGGCAUCCAGCACUGGGGACCGCGGGGAACCUCUAGGUAUUCCUAACCACCUGCGAGCCACCCACCCACCUGUCCAUCUCACUUUUUGGAUGUGUUUCAAAGUAAGUUCUUUUACAUCAGAACAUUUCACAGCCAAACACUUUAGCAUCCACAUUGUAACUAGAGUUUAAUAUCUGUAGUUGUAUCUUCAAGAGAUAGUUCCUUUGCUUUCGAGGUAAAAUUUUAAAAUAGUGAAAUGCACAAAUCUCAAGUAUACUGUCUGAACCUUUUUGGGUAUUGUUUUCUUUUUUUUGGUACCGGGGAUUGAACUCAGGACCUUGCAUUUUCGAGGCAGGCUCAGUGCCACUGAGCUAAAUCCCUGGCCCUUAGAAGCUUUUUGACAAAUGCAUAUCCCAACCCCGUCCUACCAGGUGACAGAAUAUCACAUCACCCCAGAGCAUGUAUCCCCACUGCUUCACCAUCAGAGAGGGCAGCGGAUGUUAGGAAAGAACCCUGGUUAUCUCAGUCUAAUUUCUCUUGCUGUUACAAAACACUCAAGCUGGGUAAUGUAUGAAGAAAAGAGGUUUCUUUUGCUCACAGCUUUGGAGGUUCAGGGGGUUGUGCCACAUAGGCCUCGCCCUGGUGAGAACCUCGUGGAAGGUGUCGCCUCAAGCCAGGGGUGUGUGCAUGAGGGAGAGGUCACAUGGGGAUUCCGGAAGCCAGAGAGAGGGGAGGGGUCAGGCUCGCUCUUGUAGAGCAGCCUUCUCUGGGCGCACAGGUGCCUGGAGAGCCCCAUGCUCUCCUCCCGGGGCAGCGCCCCCGAGGAUCCUGUCGCUUCCCACCCCGAGGACAUCGCCCCGCAUGGACACUCAAGCUCGGCCCAGACCUCCGCUUCUACCCCGGGGCUCUAUCUGAUUCACCCACAUGUUCGCCAAGCGAGAAGUCAAGACUGAGGUCUUCCUAAAAGUGCUUCUGUAAACAUUUCACAGUAAAUGCUUUGCCAAGGACAGUGGUGUUCAGUGACCCGAGCCCAGCCUGGGCGUCGUCAUUCCUCACUCGGAAUCCUGCUCUGCUGGUGCUAAGAAAGUCGCUGGCAGAGUCCCUGACGCGUGGGAUGGGACCAGCAGCCACCCGUGUUGCUGCCAUGUCAGAGACGUGCAAAACUCGCUGAGUAGCACCGGGGGAAAGGUAAAGACUUCAAUAGCGGGGCCCCAGCACUUCGC